rnacentral:snRNA from 1 species
AGUUGUUGAAUCCCUUGUUGUAG